rnacentral:rRNA from 1 species
AGUCUUCAUAAUGGACGACUUGGCUCUUGUAUCGAUGAAGAACGCAGUGAAAGGCGAAACGUAAUGUGAAUCGCAACUAACAGUGAAUCAUUGAAUCUUUGAACGCAGGCCGCGCCUUGCAUAUCACUCGUGUUAUCGCAAGGCAUCUACGUAUGAGUGUC